rnacentral:piRNA from 1 species
UACAAAACUUAGUAACUUGAGGACCCUGAU